rnacentral:rRNA from 1 species
CAGCCGCCACGGUAAAACGGAGGGUGCAAGCGUUAAUCGGAAUUACUGGGCGUAAAGCGCACGCAGGCGGUUUGUUAAGUCAGAUGUGAAAUCCCCGAGCUUAACUUGGGAACUGCAUUUGAAACUGGCAAGCUAGAGUCUUGUAGAGGGGGGUAGAAUUCCAGGUGUAGCGGUGAAAUGCGUAGAGAUCUGGAGGAAUACCGGUGGCGAAGGCGGCCCCCUGGGCAAAGACUGACGCUCAGGUGCGAAAGCGUGGGGAGCAAACAGGAUUAGAUACCCGCGUAGUCCCUGUCUCUUAUAC